ensembl:snRNA U6 U6 spliceosomal RNA
GUGCUCAAUUCAGCAGCACAUACACUAAAAUUGGAACAAUACAGAGAAGAUUAGCAUGGUCCCUGAGCAAGUAUGACACGCAAAUUCUUGAAGCGCUCCACAUUUUU